GGAAAUAGCUUAAUGGUAGAGCAUAGCCUUGCAAAGGCUGAGGUUGAGGGUUCAAGUUCGAAGGACUUUCA